GCCUGGGUGGCUCAGUCUGUUGAGUGUCUGACUUCGGCUCAGGUCAUGAUCUCAUGGUUCAUGAGUUCGAGCCCCAUGUCGGGCU
rnacentral:tRNA from 1 species